UUCACACUUACAGAACCCUAAAUCUCUCAUUCUUUUCCUUCACGCUUCCUGAUUUCCCUUUCUUCUUCAUCUUCAAGGCUAUGAAGUUCAAUCGAUUCAACGUGUUAUUAACCCGUUUUGUUAUAUUUGAUUUUUGGUGGAAGACGGUAGAGGUUCUCGGAUGUCACAGUUGCCCAUCCGGUGGCGGUGCUUUGAUAGAGGAAGAUGGUGACGGUGGUUGUGGCCUGAAGAGGAACUAUGACGGCGACAUGGGUCCAUUUAGGGUUUUCUCCAACAGUGGUCUUGUGAUGGUUGUGGUUCAAGGCACAGGGCGGCGGCUAGGGUUCCACCACCACAUAAAUCUGACACUUCUCUCUCAUUGUUAUUGUUUGCUCUUAUUUCAAAUCUUUAUGAUUUAUACACGCUAAUCGUCUUCAAGUUGUUCACAAUUCCGUAUGCAAGUUUUCCAAUCCAGGUAUGUUUUAAUUAAAAAUUUGCUUUAUCUGCUUGAGUUUUUGAAUAAAGCAGUUUCGAAUGAACAAUUAUAUGAUGCAUAUUGCAUACUCAACAUUGCUUAUCAGUUAUCACUUACAGAUAAUUAAAUAAGCAGUUAGAAUUAGCAAACCUAAACACACCCUUCAUUUACCUCUAUACAGAAUCUUCCAUUUCUCUUUUAUCAUUUAAGGAGUUGUUAAUUUGAACAUGUUCACCGACAAGUUAAUAUCAGAAUGUUUUAUUUAUUUAUUUUUUUUGUUAAGUUUUUAUUUUGUGUGAAGUCUUAUAAGCAUCUAUCUGCUUUUGUAAAUUGGGAAUCGGCUCGCGGAGGUUACAAUGAUCAGGUCAAUACCCUCAGAGAAGGGUUGAUGUCUUAUAAGCAAUUUAUUCAGGAGCUUGAAGAUGGUGUUCUGCCAUCAGAAGCUGAACGAAGGUAUCAAGAAUACAAGUCACAAUAUAUAUCAACUCAGAAUUGGAUGGCACUAUUGGUAAUUGCUCGCAAGAUUCUUAUUAUUUUUAUUCUUCAACCUUUUCUUUACUAGGAGAAAUGAGGCGGCUCGAAAGCUGGCUAAGGAGUUUUUGCAUGACUUGCAAAAUGGGUCAUUAGACUUGAGACAAAAGCUAUCAAGAGCAGAGAAAUUCUUUAGAUGACCAACAGAUGUUUCUCAUCAAAGCGAAUAUUCAAAACCCUAAAUCGUUAACAAUCGAAGUGGAUUCAGGUUCAAAUUUUACACACAAUACAGGGACUGAGUCAAGUGAACCGUGAGUAAGAGUAUCGAGUUGCCUAUUUUCAGGUGUUCCAUGUUUGUGAAAGUAGGAGCACAUUCAGCAUACUUAUGACUGAGCUAAGUACUGUUUCUUCAUGUUCUUGAAACAAAGACAAAAACCUCCAAAAGGGUUUUGAUGGGAAAAAAGGAGGUCGGGUACAUUCGAUGUAGAGGUCAAAACGCCGACCAUCCAACACGUUUUGUCUAUUAUUUUAGUUUUGUAAAUCUUAAAUGUAUUUAGUUUGAUUAUUAAUAAAAAUUUUCAUUGAAUACACCAGUUUAAGACGUAGGCGUUUGGAUACCCGUUUGGGGAUUUUUAACCCAUUUAACCUGUUUGCUCAUUUGACCUGUUUUGAUGGGGAUUUUAUUAAUUUUUUACUAAAAUUGGUGGUGGUCAACCAAGGGCAAUGAGGGUUUGUUUUGAUAAAGAAUGUAGGCAAAGUUCCUUAACAUAAUCUUUGGUUACUAUUAUAGGUGAUGGUUGUAACGACACAUGAAGGGGUGCUAGAAGAAUUUCAUGGAGCAAAAUUGGUUGGCUCACGAAGCUUUUCGUUCCCAUGGUACCAACAAGUGCCACUUUCUCUUGCCCUAAGCCCUAGGAUCAUCAACGAAGUUAAACAAUUCAAACCGGACAUCAUCCAUGCAUCGUCUCCUGGUAUCAUGGUUUUUGGAGCGCUUACGAUUGCAAAAAUGCUGUCGGUCCACAUCGUGAUGUCCUAUCAUACACAUGUGCCUGUAUACAUACCAAGAUACACGUAUAGCUGAUUGGUCCAGCCAAUGUGGUUAGUUAUAAAGUUUCUUCACCAAGCUGCUGAUCUUACAUUGGUACCAUCAGCUGCUAUUGCAAAGGAUCUUCAACAAUACAAAGUUGCAGCAUCUAACACAAUUCGUCUGUGGAAUAAGGAUGUGGAUUCGGAUAGCUUUCAUCCGAAGUUUCACUCUCAUGAAAUGCGAAUUAGACUAUCAAAUGGUGAACCUGAUCGACCAUUGAUCGUACAUGUUGGGCGUAUUGGAGUCAAGAAAAAUUUGGAUUUACUUAAAAGCGUCGGACAACAAUUACUAACACGGCACGUAAAUAAAUAGGUAUUGUGUCGGCUAACCCGUUUUAUUAAACAGCUGAACUAUAUGGGUUAAUCUGAACAUGACCCGUUAAUAAGGUUUGGGACACAUGGCAUGUUGUGGUGCAACCAUUUUAGGUUUGGGACACAUGGCAUGUUGUGGUGCACUUACCGGAAUGGAUCUUGUGAUUAUACCUGCUGGUGUUCCAAGAAAGCCCGGAAUGACACGUGAUGAUCUUUUCAAGAUUAAUGCGGGAAUUGUUAAAACUUUAUGUGAAGGAAUUGGAAUGUGUUGCCCUAAUGCAAUCGUCAACUUAAUUAGCAAUCCUGUGAAUUCUACGGUUCCAAUCGCUGCAGAAGUUUUCAAGAAAGCUGGUACUUAUGAUCCCAAACGCUUGGUUGGUGUCACUAUGCUUGAUGUUGUUAGAGCCAACACUUUUGUGGCUGAAGUUUUGGGACUUGAUCCAUGAGAAGUUAGUGUCCCGGUGGUUGGAGGAAGUUUGUGAUGUGAGUGAAGUGGCUGGGAGAAAUCUGAUGUCCACAACCUCAACUACCACAAACUUGAUGGGCUUACAGAUUUUUGUAUCAUGGUUGACGCCGAUGCACUUCUAGAAAAAGAUUUAGUAACUUUAGAUGAGGCAUUGCAGAUUGCAAAUAAUGUUGUGUUGAUGUCAUUAAACGCAGUCUCCAUUUUGACUUCUAUAAGUGGAGUCCAACAGAAAAUUUCUGGAUAUACCGCAUGGGAGUAUGAAAGAACUUGGAGUCAAAGACCUAAAAAAGGUUUUGUAGUGAGAUGGAGGAAGAUGUGGAUCACCUGCUCGUGUCAUGCUACAUCGUCUUAGGGGUUAGAUAGAAGGUAAGUCUUUGGUGCAGCAUCCCUUAUUUUUCAGGUACAAAGGUGAGGGAGCUGUUCAAAUUUUAUUAAGCAGAAGGCAUAUUGGAAAAUAAAAGAAAGUUGGUGCAAUGAUUCUUAUUGUGUCAUCUUGUGAGAUUUGAAAAGCACGAAACGAAUUGAUGUUCUCAGGCAAGCGGGUAUCAGUUGAUCGGAUAUUCGCGUAAACUCAGGCGAUGUCGUUCAUGUGACUGAAACAUCGGGCGAACCGACCAGGGUUAGAGUGGGCGAAGUGGCUAAAGUUUGAUGUUUUGGGUUGAUCUGUAAUUGGAGUAUGGGGUGAGUUAUGUACUGGGUAUGGGUUUAAUGGGUACUAGCGACUUACUGGUACAUGCCUUUGUAACGUAUAUAAAUUUGGUGUGGAAUAAAAUCAUUGUUUGCCAUCCAAAAUAAAAGUAGUUUCUUUUCUUUAA